ensembl:lncRNA
UGACAUUUUCCCACUUCCCUGUUAAGCAUGAGGAAUUUAAAAGUGACUCAUAUAGAGGGACUUGCUUAGAUCAUAUGUCUGGAUUUUAGCCAACUUGUAUGGUGUUGAUAAGGAUGUUUUUAAGUAUAUAACCCCAGCAACGCUAUCGUGCUGGCUUUUGAGUUCUUUUGGGGAAGUUUUGCAUAUUUAGCUUGCAUCCCUCUAGUGGAUUCUUCUCUGUUUUGAUUUCAUUCCAGUUAGUUAACUCCACCCUUAAAAGCAGGGGAAAAUUGGAACCUGCUUUUCUUGUUUAGGAAAUGGGUACCUGCCGUUUCAUCCGUGGUGACCAAAGACAGAAGGUGAUGAGAGCCUGUGGAGAAGGAAAUGGCACCCCACUCCAGUACUCUUGCCUGGAGAAUCCCAUGGACAGAGGAGCCUGGCGGCUAUAGCCCAUGGGGUCACAGAGAGUCGGACACGACUGAACGACUGAACACACAAUGAGAGCCUGCCCCCACCUUGGGUCACCUUCCAUACUCAUUCACACAAGACUUCCUUCUAGGAAGAGGCCAGCACGGUAGGACAGAAUCAGGCUUGAUCCCCAGGAUUGCCACGGGUGUCACCUUUGAGUCUCACCUUCUGCCUCUGUAAAAUAAGGGCAACCGAGUCAACCCAUGGGUCUCUCUGAGAAUUCUGAAAUAACACAUAAAGAGCACUGAGCUGUGUACCCAGGAAGUGCUUGCUAUAUGAUGGCUGUCUUUCCCCUUUCUUCCAAGAUGAUCAGAUAAAAUACUCAAGAGCCAGCUGGGGAAAGGAAAUUGACAUCAGAAACCUCAAAAAUUGUUAUCCAGUGAACAUGUUCUUCUUUGGUGAGGAACUGGAGACAACUAGAAAAAUUAUAAAUAUGCAACUUUUUUCUUAUCAUUAACCUUAGAACUCUCAGAUGAGAAGCAGCAAGACCAUCCUACAUGAGGAAUAUAUCAUCAAGAAGCAGAUUAGCAUUGGCCUACUUGCCACCAUUAGGCUAUAAUUAUUGUGCAGAUCCUUCUAUGAAAUGCUGAGCUGGGUGAUGGCAAAUCCAAACAGAGGGAAGCCUGGUUGGCUGCAGUCUAUAGGGUGGCAGAGUCAGACACGACUUAGUGACUGAACAAACAGCAUGUGUUUGCCGCUCGGACACCAGCUGAGGGGACUUUCAUCUGCUUUGUCCCCUGCUGACCCCAACAAGUGGAACUGUAUCUACAUGGAGCAGGUGCUCCGUAAGCACCGGUUAAAGCAGUGAUGAAAGAGUGAGCGUCAGUCGGGUGAUGAAUGAUAGGGUUGGUAUGAUUACCAUCAUGCG